rnacentral:rRNA from 1 species
AACGAACGCUGGCGGCAGGCUUAACACAUGCAAGUCGAGCGCCCCGCAAGGGGAGCGGCAGACGGGUGAGUAACGCGUGGGAAUCUACCUAUCACUACGGAACAACUCCGGGAAACUGGAGCUAAUACCGUAUACGACCGAGAGGAGAAAGAUUUAUCGGUGAUAGAUGAGCCCGCGUUGGAUUAAGCUAGUUGGUGGGGUAAUGGCCUACCAAGGCGACGAUCCAUAGCUGGUCUGAGAGGAUGAUCAGCCACACUGGGACUGAGACACGGCCCAGACUCCUACGGGAGGCAGCAGUGGGAAUAUUGGACAAUGGGCGAAAGCCUGAUCCAGCCAUGCCGCGUGAGUGAUGAAGGCCUUAGGGUGUAAAGCUCUUUCACCGGUGAAGAUAAUGACGGUAACCGGAGAAGAAGCCCCGGCUAACUUCGUGCCAGCAGCCGCGGUAAU